rnacentral:rRNA from 1 species
UACGUAGGGUGCAAGCGUUAAUCGGAAUACUGGGCGUAAAGCGUGCGCAGGCGGUUAUGUAAGACAGAUGUGAAAUCCCCGGGCUCAACCUGGGAACUGCAUUUGUGACUGCAUAGCUAGAGUACGGUAGAGGGGGAUGGAAUUCCGCGUGUAGCAGUGAAAUGCGUAGAUAUGCGGAGGAACACCGAUGGCGAAGGCAAUCCCCUGGACCUGUACUGACGCUCAUGCACGAAAGCGUGGGGAGCAAACAGG